rnacentral:rRNA from 1 species
CCUACGGGUGGCUGCAGUAGGGAAUCUUCCGCAAUGGACGAAAGUCUGACGGAGCAACGCCGCGUGAGCGAAGAAGGUCUUCGGAUCGUAAAGCUCUGUUGUUAGGGAAGAACAAGUACCGGAGUAACUGUCGGUACCUUGACGGUACCUAACCAGAAAGCCACGGCUAACUACGUGCCAGCAGCCGCGGUAAUACGUAGGUGGCAAGCGUUGUCCGGAAUCAUUGGGCGUAAAGCGCGCGCAGGCGGUCCUUUAAGUCUGAUGUGAAAUCUUGCGGCUCAACCGUAAGCGGUCAUUGGAAACUGGGGGCUUAGAGUGAAGGGAGGGAAAGAGGAAUCCCAUGUGUAGCGGGGAAAGGGGUAGGGAUAAGGGGGAACUCAAGUGGGGAGGGCGGAUUUCUGGCUUGUACCUGACGCGGAGGCGCGAAAGCGUGGGGAGCAAACAGGAUUAGAUACCCCGGUAGUC